rnacentral:rRNA from 1 species
AGCGAACGCUGGCGGCAGGCCUAACACAUGCAAGUCGAACGAACCCUUCGGGGUUAGUGGCGGACGGGUGAGUAACACGUGGGAACGUGCCUUUAGGUUCGGAAUAACUCAGGGAAACUUGUGCUAAUACCGAAUGUGCCCUUCGGGGGAAAGAUUUAUCGCCUUUAGAGCGGCCCGCGUCGGAUUAGCUAGUUGGUGAGGCAAUGGCUCACCAAGGCUACGAUCAGUAGCUGGUCUGAGGGGAUGACCAGCCACAUUGGGACUGAGACACGGCCCAAACUCCUACGGGAUGCAGCAGUGGGGAAUCUUGCGCAAUGGGCGAAAGCCUGACGCAGCCAUGCCGCGUGGAUGAUGAAGGUCUUAGGAUUGUAAAAUCCUUUCACCGGUGAAGAUAAUGACUGUAGCCGGAGAAGAAGCCCCGGCUAACUUCGUGCCAGCCGCCGCCGUAAUAC